rnacentral:rRNA from 1 species
GACAGAGGUGCCAAGCGUUAGGCGGAAUCACUGGCUUAAAGCGUGUGUAGGUGGAUGCCUAAGUGCCUUGUGAAAUCCACGGCUCAACCGUGGAAUUGCUCGGCAUACUGGUGUCUUAAGCUAUCUAGGGUCGCUGGAACAAACGGUGGAGCGGUGAAAUGCGUAGAUAUCGUUUGGAACGCCAAUGGUGAAACAGGCGACUGGGAUAUGCUGACACUGAGACACGAAAGCCAGGGAGCGAACGGG